AAAAAACAUGAAACAUUUAGAAUGUGUCUGAUAGAACAUGGAACCUUUAGAAUGUGUCGUCUGAUGGUACACAGACCUUUAGAAUGUUGCAGAUAGAAUAUGGAACCUUUAGAAUGUUGCAGAUAGAACAUGGAACCUUUAGAAUGUUGCCAUAUUUAUAUCUGCAGCAACGCUCUGAAUAUCUGUUGAACAACAUGUCAUGUCUAGUGGGUGGGGUUAUAUCCUUCCUGUUUGGCCCUGUCCGGGGGUAUCAUCGGAUGGGGCCACAGUGUCUCCUGACCCCUCCUGUCUCAGCCUCCAGUAUUUAUGCUGCAGUAGUUUAUGUGUCGGGGGGCUAGGAUCAGUUUGUUAUAUCUAGAGUACUUUUCCUGUCUUAUCCGGUGUCCUGUGUGAAUUUAAGUAUGCUCUCUCUUUCUUUCUCUCUCUCGGAGGACCUGAGCUCUAGGACCAUGCCCCAGGACUACCUGGCAUGAUGACUGCUUGCUGUCCCCAGUCCACCUGGCCGUGCUGCUGCUCCAGUUUCAACUGUUCUGCCUGCGGCUAUGGAAUCCUGACCUGUUCACCGGACGUGCUACCUGUCCCAGACCUGCUGUUUUCAACUCUCUAGAGACAGCAGGAGUGGUAGAGAUACUUUUAAUGAUUGGUUAUGAAAAGGCAACUGACAUUUAGUCCUGAGGUGCUGACCUGUUGCAACCUCGACAACUACUGUGGUUAUUAUUAUUAUUUGACCAUGCUGGUCAUUUAUGAGCAUUUGAACAUCUUGGCCAUGUUCUGUAAUAAUCUCCACCCGGCACAGCCAGAAGAAGACACCCCUCAUAGCCUGGUUCCUCUCUAGGUUUCUUGCUAGGUUUUGGCCUUUCUAGGGAGUUUUUCCUAGCCACCGUGUUUCUACACCUGCAUUGCUUGCUGUUUGGGGUUUUAGGCUGGGUGUCUGUACAGCACUUUGAGAUAUCAGCUGAUGUACGAAGGGCUAUAUAAAUACAUUUGACUUGAUUUGAUUAGUCAUGACACUAUUUGGUGUUCUUGCCUCUUGGAUGACAGACUGUGCAAACUCCCAACUGAUGGAGAGACAAGACAACCUGGGUUGGAGUCCUCUAUUCUCCAUCAGAGCCUGCUGUCUAUAGUUUUGUUUCUUUGUUAUCUCAGUCUCAUGUUUAGUUGCUGCAUCCCAAGAGAUGUCAGGAAGCCGCCCUUCAAACUCCCUGGCCAGUGGUGGCAGGGCUGGCAUCGGUCCUGCCGCCUGGCUCUGUUGGUUUAACAUAGCCUGGCCCAGACACCCAGCCUGACCCCAGCUACCGACCCAGUACUCACUCUCACAGUGCCAGAGCAUGGCUUUCACAACAACCACACUGAAUAAUAAUAACACUAUAUGCCACUGUGCAGACACUUUCAUCCAAAUUGACUUACAGCAUAGGACAGUUCUUACAUUUUGUGUAGGCCUUUGUAAUCCCUGUGGGAAUUGAACCCACAACCUUGGGUUUGGAUAGUGUCCUGCUCUUACCAAUAGAGCAACACAGUACUUCAAUUCCAGCCAUGCAGUUAUCAAGCAUCAUUCCUUGAACAUUCUCAGAAGUAGAACAUUUUGGCAGACAUGUUCUGCGGUUUGACAUCUUUAUAAUGUGUGGAAGAAGAAGCAGCAUGGUCCCUGUCACAGUGUAGAUGUAGAUCACUGUCCCCCUCCAGCUAAUGAGCACCCUUCAACUAGGGAUGUUUCUGGAUGACAUUUUAAGUACUGUGAAAGACAAAUAUAUGAGGCUACUAAUGCCACCAACAUGUGUCCUAUUGUCAAUUUAGGUUGGUAAUUGCAAUAACCUAUACUCAUAUUUCUUUCCAUCAAUCCGUUUGACAACAGUGUGAUGGUCGGUGCGCUUCAUAAAAAUUCAGUGUCCCAGUGCAGCCCCUUGUGCAGGUUUGAAUCGAUUCGAGCAGGUUGAUCACGGUGGCUCUCUCCUGCUUUAGGACUAAACCGGGGAUUAAAAAGGUUGCCCACCGGACUAUGUAUUUCAGAGCAAAUUAGCUGACUAUUACUGUGAUUCAUUGUAUUUAAAUAAGAAUCAAGGGACGGUUUAAUUGAUUUGAAACUAUGUUAUGUAACAUUCGUGUCAAAUGCACUGUAGGCUAUUGAACAUCAAGUCAUUUCCAGAGAGAAAUUUGUUGUAGGCAAAUGAAAAUCGCAUGUGUUGUAUGUUGUGUUGCAGAUCGAAAUGCUUUUUAAAAAAAAUGAUGAUGGGUAACCCUGUCAUUUUGAUGAUGAGCUCAGGGUUGUUUGUGCUUUUAAAUUAAUCAAUCCAUUGAUCUGGGAGCAUUAACUAGUUCUCAGAAUAAUUCUCAGGAAUUAUACAUUUAUAAUAACAUAUUUACAAUGAAAUAUUUGAUAUGAAAUGAAUCAAUUGAAAUGGAAUUCAAGAAAUGUAAAACUUUUUGGGAAUUAAAUGGGGAAAAUUUCAGAAGAAAAAAUGGUGUUUGACCAUAUCCUGCAAAUUACUGCUAUAGAGGCAAAAGGUAACUGAGGAUAACUUGGCAUCAGAAUCCAUUCUAUCGGGUGAAUGAAACAGAGGAUCUGACAGAGAGCAGUGGUUCUGGUUCCCUGGAUAGUCAUUAUGUUACACCUGCAGUUAUUCCCUCACUGGAGACUUCAUGUGCAACCUGUUCCUAUAAACUAUUACACUGGCCCAAAUUGAUCUGGCAUUAAUUAAUGUUUUGUAUUAUGGUGUUGGCGCCCAUCUAGUGUGUACAUAAGUCAUAACACUCUUCAGUGUGUGUGUGUAUGUGUGUAUAUAUAUAUAUAUAUACACUACUCAAAAAAAUAAAGGGAACACUUAAACAACACAUUGUAACUCCAAGUCAAUCACACUUCUGUGAAAUCAAACUGUCCACUUAGGAAGCAACACUGAUUGACAAUCAAUUUCACAUGCUGUUGUGCAAAUGGAAUAGACAACAGGUGAAAAUUAUAGGCAAUUAGCAAGACACCCCCAAUAAAGGAGUGGUUCUGCAGGUGGUGACCACAGACCACUUCUCAGUUCCUAUGCUUCCUGGCUGAUGUUUUGGUCACUUUUGAAUGCUGGCUGUGCUUUCACUCUAGCGGUAGCAUGAGACGGAGUCUACAACCCACACAAGUGGCUCAGGUAGUGCAGCUCAUCCAGGAUGGAACAUCAUUGCGAGCUGUGGCAAGAAGGUUUGCUGUGUCUGUCAGCGUAGUGUCCAGAGCAGGCCAGUACAUCAGGAGACGUGGAGGAGGCCGUAGGAGGGCAACAACCCAGCAGCAGGACCGCUACCUCCGCCUUUGUGCAAGGAGGAGCAGGAGGAGCACUGCCAGAGCCCUGCAAAAUGACCUCCAGCAGGCCUCAAAUGUGCAUGUGUCUGCUCAAACGGUCAGAAACAGACUCCAUGAGGGUGGUAUGAGGGCCCAACGUCCACAGGAGGGGGUUGUGCUUACAGCCCAACACCGUGCAGGACGUUUGGCAUUUACCAGAGAACACCAAGAUUGGCAAAUUCGCCACUGGCGCCCUGUGCUCUUCACAGAUGAAAGCAGGUUCACACUGAGCACAUGUGACAGACAUGACAGAGUCUGGAGACGCCGUGGAGAACGUUCUGCUGCCUGCAACAUCCUCCAGCAUGACCGGUUUGGCGGUGGGUCAGUUAUGGUGUGGGGUGGCAUUUGGAUCAGCCUGUAGUGUGGUUUUCCACUUUAAUUUUGAGUGUGACUCCAAAUCCAGACCGUGAGACAGCGGCUGACAGCCUGAGGGUGACGUCGCUGAUGACCGACAGCGUGGACCAUCCCUGCAGCCCCAGUGCUGCGGCCGAGGCCAAGAACCACAACAUUUGUCUGUUCACCAUCAGGCUGUCAGACUACCCAGGCAGGGACUGGCCCACCAACGCCAGGCUACGUUCCAUCGCCAGCACCCCGCCACAACCUGCUGGAGGAUAAAUUGGAACAUACAUUACUGAGCACUGAGUGUGAGCUAUUAUUGUUUAGAAUGUGCUUGUCAACACAGGGGUAAGUCCCUUUUUUUGUAACCAUCCAUUGGGAAUGUAAAGAUAAUUAUCUCUGAGGUGUAUGUUUAAAUGUUGCUUCUCUUACAUCGCGUGAUGUAUUGUUGUCUCUACCUUCUUGCCCUUUGUGCUGUUGUCUGUGCCCAACAAUGUUUGUACCAUGUUUGUGCUGCUGCCAUGUUGUGUUGCUACCGUGUUGUUGUCAUGUUGUGUUGCUACCAUUCUGUGUUGUUGUGUUAGGUCUCUUUAUGUAGUUUUGCGGUGUCUCUUGUCGUGAUGUGUGUUUUGGUUGUUUUUAACUGACUAGUUAAAUAAAGGUUCAAUAAAAAAUCAAUAAAAUAAUUAUCUUGGUUUCUGUGCCCACAGCCCAAGUCUUGUCUGUGUGAUAUAGGAGAGAGAGGUCUCCCUGGAAGCCUAGAGAUGACAUGGGUUCAAGGUUCAAAGGUGACAAGGGUGACCAGGGCUUCCCAGGGUAGUACGGACCACGGGGAGAAAGAGGAGUCAUGGAUCCAGGGCCAAAGG